rnacentral:lncRNA from 1 species
GGAAACCGUCAAUGUUCAAGACGGAUUAGCCGACGGCAAUCCCUCGUGCGCACGGCUCGAGAAAGUUCCACACUUCCUUCCACGCCACGAAGGUACCAGGUUACCUACGGCUGUCCGCGUCACGGAGAUCUUCCAACGUCACCAGACCACAAAGGGGCUCCGGUUUCCGGAGAGUCGAGUAGGCGAGUCCAGCGGCUGAUGGACGAAUCCAGCAAGAGCGUGCUCCAGCGGGCGUCGGCUGCGACUUUGCCACGACGAUCAUGGACCGGGACCGGGACCAGGAAAGAGGAGCGUUCGGCAACUUCGAUACUGUCGCUGGUGUUUGAUUUGACCGGGAGUUUAGUUCCAGAGGUCAGUGUUAAUCGUACUGGGGAGAAUGUAGGUAAUUAGUCUCCGGCAAACCUCUCUUUAGCUCACCUGCAUCGUUGGUUUGGUAGGCACGACAUGUCGAGUUAACUAUCUCCGUUUUCUGACGUGAUGAAGUGUACAUUUAGCUCACGUGCAGGAUUGGCUAGGGUAGGAUUUGGAGUACUAGCUGAUUUUCUCUGUUUCCUCAUCUUCAUUGUAUAUAUAACAUACUUAUUUCUCUUGAGUCGGCUUUGAUUCAAUUGUUAGUCCGGCAAAAUUAAACAAGUAGCCAUAGCUUUCCUCCCACUUUUCUUUGGGCCAAAUUCACUAUUUUGACCUUGUCAUUAAACUACAUAGAAUGACCUCUUUGAAAAAUCAUUUCAUGAUUUGACCCUUUUUAAAAAAGUCAAGGUUUAUGCCGUUUCUAUCUUGCAUAGAAACAAGGUUUAAGUCGAGUUGGACUUCACUAGACACUUGUGUCGCCUCCACCGUGGGCGACGAGGGAGAACACCGCUGCCAACUAGGGUUGCCCAUCCUCGCCGCCCCU